AUUGAACGCUGGCGGCAGGCUUAACACAUGCAAGUCGAGCGGGGUGAUGGUGCUUGCACUAUCACUUAGCGGCGGACGGGUGGGUAAUGCUUAGGAAUCUGCCUAUUAGUGGGGGACAACAUCUCGAAAGGGAUGCUAAUACCGCAUACGUCCUACGGGAGAAAGCAGGGGAUCACUUGUGACCUUGCGCUAAUAGAUGAGCCUAAGUCGGAUUAGCUAGUUGGUGGGGUAAAGGCCUACCAAGGCGACGAUCUGUAGCGGGUCCGAGAGGAUGAUCCGCCACACUGGGACUGAGACACGGCCCAGACUCCUACGGGAGGCAGCAGUGGGGAAUAUUGGACAAUGGGGGGAACCCUGAUCCAGCCAUGCCGCGUGUGUGAAGAAGGCCUUAUGGUUGUAAAGCACUUUAAGCGAGGAGGAGGCUCUUUUGGUUAAUACCCAAGAUGAGUGGACGUUACUCACAGAAUAAGCACCGGCUAACUCUGUGCCAGCCGCCGCCGUAA
rnacentral:rRNA from 1 species